rnacentral:lncRNA from 1 species
UUUAUAAUAUUAAAUAAUAUAUCUGUUUCAUAAUACUUAUCACAUUUGGCAAUAUUAUCUUUGAUUUAAUAUUAAUUAUCUAAGAAAAUCAUUAAAUUGAAGUAAUAAUUAUUGGCCAUACACAAAGGGUAAACAUGAAAAAAAAAUAUUUAUUACUUCUUGAAACUACAAAUGUGACAAGUGUUUUAAAACAAAUUAUUUUCUUAAACGUUCAAUUGUUAUGUGUCACGACCCAUUUCCAUGGACCGGACCGGCACUAGGACCUGGGUGGGCUUAAGGCCCCCGAAGCCCGUAGUAAGCCUAACUUAUUUAAAUCUCACUUUCUAUUCAUAAUUAUGGAUUCAGGCCCAUUAACAUUUUAUACAUAUGCAUCCAAAAUGCAGUUCAUAUAUUUAAUAUGGACUUUUACUAUUUAUUUACAACCCAACUGGAAUACAAUUGCGGAACUCUACCUUUAUAUUUACAUCGUUAUUUCUAUCAUUAACAAUCUUCUAUAAUACGUGUUUCAACUCCAUAGGGCUUUCCCUUCUUUCUAUUACCUGGAAAAAAAAUAGUAGGCAGGGAUGAGCGCCAAACUCAAUGAGUAGGGUUAGAUAACCCUCUCACCCCACACAAUCACACAGAUGCUAAA